AUUGAACGCUGGCGGCAGGCCUAACACAUGCAAGUCGAGCGGAGCGGCGGACGGGUGAGUAAUGCCUAGGAAUCUGCCUGGUAGUGGGGGAUAACGUCCGGCAACGGGAGCUAAUACCGCAUACUAUCAGAUGAGCCUAGGUCGGAUUGGCUAGUGGGGGGGGUAAAGGCCUACAAGGGCGACGAUCCGUAACUGGUCUGAGAGGAUGAUCAGCAACACUGGAACUGAGACACGGUCCGAACUCCUACGGAAGGCAGCAGUGGGGAAUAUUGGACAAUGGGGGAAAUCCUAAUCCAGACAUGCCGCGUGUGUGAGGAAGGUCUUGGGAUUGUAAAGCACUUUAAUUUGGGAGGCGUUACCAACAGAGGAAGCACCGGCUAACUCCGUGCCAGCCGCCGCGGUAAUAC
rnacentral:rRNA from 1 species